rnacentral:rRNA from 1 species
GACGAACGCUGGCGGCGUGCUUAACACAUGCGAGUCGAACGGAAAGGCCUCUUUCGGGGGGUACUCGAGUGGCGAACGGGUGAGUAACACGUGAGUAACCUGCCCUUGACUUUGGGAUAACUUCAGGAAACUGGGGCUAAUACCGGAUAGGAGCUCCUGCUGCAUGGUGGGGGAUGGAAAGUUUCGGCGGUUGGGGAUGGACUCGCGGCUUAUCAGCUUGUUGGUGGGGUAGUGGCUUACCAAGGCGUUGACGGGUAGCCGGCCUGAGAGGGUGACCGGCCACAUUGGGACUGAGAUACGGCCCAGACUCCUACGGGAGGCAGCAGUGGGGAAUAUUGCACAAUGGGUGGAAGCCCGAUGCAGCAACGCCGUGUGCGGGAUGACGGCCUUCGGGUUGUAAACCGCUUUCGCUCAUGACGAAGCUUUGUGUGACGGUAGUGGGUAAAGAAGCACCGGCUAACUACGUG